CCUACGGGGAGCAGCAGUGAGGAAUAUUGGUCAAUGGGCGCGAGCCUGAACCAGCCAAGUAGCGUGAAGGAUGACUGCCCUACGGGUUGUAAACUUCUUUUAUAAAGGAAUAAAGUGAGGCACGUGUGCCUUUUUGUAUGUACUUUAUGAAUAAGGAUCGGCUAACUCCGUGCAAGCAGCCGCGGUAAUACGGAGGAUCCGAGCGUUAUCCGGAUUUAUUGGGGUUAAAGGGAGCGUAGAUGGGUUGUUAAGUCAGUUGUGAAAGUUUGCGGCUCAACCGUAAAAUUGCAGUUGAUACUGGCAGCCUUGAGUACAGGUGAGGUAGGCGGAAUUCGUGGUGUAGCGGUGAAAUGCUUAGAUAUCACGCAGAACUCCGAUUGCGAAGGCAGCUUACUAAACUGCCACUGACAUUGAGGCUCGAAAGUGUGGGUAUCAAACAGGAUUAGAUACCCCAGUAGUC
rnacentral:rRNA from 1 species